CCGUUCCAAUUUGUGCUGCAUCAGAGUGACAACAGAGGUUCGAUCCUGGCUCAGAUUGAACGCUGGCGGGAUGCUUUACACAUGCAAGUCGAACGGCAGCACGGACUUCGGUCUGGUGGCGAGUGGCGAACAGGUGAGUAAUGUAUCGGAACGUGCCUAGUAGCGGGGGAUAACUACGCGAAAGCGGCAGCUAAUACCACGCCGCCCUUCCAGGAAAGCGGGGGACCUUCCAGGCCUCGCACUAAUCAGAGCGGCCGAUAUCCAGUUAGCUGGUUGGUGGGGUAACGGCUCACAAGGCGACGAUCCGUAGCCUGCUGGUUUGAGAGGACGACCAGCCACACUGGGACUGAGACACGGCCCAGACUCCUACGGGAGGCAGCGGUGGGGAAUUUUGGACAAUGGGGAAACCCUGAUCCAGCCAUCCCGCGUGUGCGAUGAAGGCCUUCAGGUUGUAAAGUACUUUUGGCAGGAAAGAAACGGCACGGGAUAAUACCCCGUGCAGCAAUGACUUACCUGCAGAAUAAGCACCGGUAACUGCGUGCCAGCAGCCGCGUGUACGUAGGGUGCAAGCGUUAAUCGGAAUUACUGGGCGUAAAGCGUGCAUGAGCGGUUUCGGAAAGAAAGAUGUGAAAUCCCAGAGCUUAACUUUGGAACUACAUUUUUUAACUACCGAGCUAGAGUGUGUCGGAGGUGGAAUUCCGUGUAGCAGUGAAAUGCACGUAGAUAUGCGGAGGAACACCGAUGGCGAAGGCAGCCUCCUGGGAUAACACUGACAUGCAUGCACGAAAGCGUGGGGAGCAAACGAGUUAGAUGCCCUGGUGAGGUCACGCCUAAACGAUGUCAACUAGCUGUUGGGGCCUUCGGGCCUUGGUAGCGCAGCUAACGCGUGAAGUUGACCGCCUGGGAGUACGGUCGCAAGAUUAAAACUCAAAGGAAUUGACGGGGACCACACAAGCGGUGGAUGAUAUUGGAUUAAUUCGAUGCAACGCGAAAAACCUUACCUACCCUUGACAUGUCUGGAAUCCCGAAGAGAUUUUGCAGGAGUGCUCGCAAGAGAACCGGAACACAGGUGCUGCAUGGCUGUCGUCAGCUCGUGUCGUGAGAUGUUGGGUUAGUCCGCAACGAGCGCAACCCUUGUCAUUAGUUGCUACGAAAAGGGCACUCUAAUGAGACUGCCGGUGACAAACCGGAGGAAGAUUGGGGAUGACGUCAAGUCCUCAUGGCCCAUAUGGGUAGGGGCUUCACCCGUCAUGCAAUGGUCGGGACAGAGGGUCGCCAACCUGCGAAGGGGGAGCCAAUCCCGAAACCCGGUCACGUAGUCCGGAUCGCAGUCUGCAACUCGACUGCGUGAAGUCCGGAGAUCGCUAGUAAUCGCAGGAUCAGCAUGUCGCGGUGAAUACGUUCCGGGUCUUGUACACACCGCCCGUCACACCAUGGGAGUGGGUUUUACCAGAAGUAGUUAGCCUAACCGUAAGGAGGGCGAUUACCACGGUAGGAUUCAUGACUGGGGUGAAGUCAUGUCGGGUAA
rnacentral:rRNA from 1 species